rnacentral:lncRNA from 1 species
AUGGAAAGAAAGAGGGAUUUGAAGCGAUUCUAUGAACUGGUUCUGGCAGCCCCCUUACUUUGGAAAAGAAGCCUUCCUGUGUGUGUGGGGAGGUGGAUGGGGUGCACCGUGUGGCACAGGUCUUAUUAUGGAACCUAUUUCUCAUCUUCCUGCCCAAACAUCCUGAACGCUGGAUUGACAGACUGAACCCCACCAAGCUUACUAAGGAGGGUAAGGCAGGGGAUUGGGAGUUGGUCAUCAGCUUGAGCAGUAGCUUGAGCAACAAAAUGAGAGGUUGUCUGAGAAAAGGAACUGCAAUAUAGAAAAUGGAAAUAGUUAUGGGGCUAAAGCUGAGUGGGAAGGUGGUAGCUAUAUGCCACAUGAAGCCCAAGAAUCUUCCGAUUUAGGACUAGCGCUAACGAUAAUCUUAUUGUUGUGAACCAAUGAUACACCUUCUGUAAGUAUUUUCAGCUUCUUUUGAUUUUAUUAUGUUUGAAAGAAUUUUAUUCCUUUUAUUUGUAAACGUGUGUGUACACACGCGCGCAUUAACCCCCCCCCCCCCCCAUGUACAUGCAGAUGUCUGUAGAAACCAGAAGAGGGAGAGAGUUGGAGCUUUCAGAGCCAGUAUAUGGCAGUCUGGGAACUGAACUGUAGUCCUCUGUAAGAGCAGUGUUCUAGUUUCAUUCUGUUGUUGCAUAAAACACGGAUAAACAGCAACUUGGAGGGAAGGAUGUCUUUGACAUACACCUUCCUUUCCAGUUGAGGGAAAUCAAAGGCAGAAACUCGAGGCAGGAGCCAUGAAGGAAUACAGACCCACUAGCUCACUCUUUAGGUUGACCCCUGGCUCGACGUUUAGCUAGCUUUUUGAUCCCAAACAUCUCAUAAAACCAAGCCUCCCUGCACUUGGAAGAUGGAGACAGGAAACUCGGGAAGUUCAUGUCCAUCCUUAGCCACAGAACAAGUUAAGCCUGGGCUAUGUGAGUCCGUCUCUAAACAAAUAAAGUUUUAAAAGAUGGCCA